rnacentral:rRNA from 1 species
UGCCAGUGAUAAACUGGAGGAAGGUGGGGAUGACGUCAAGUCAUCAUGGCCCUUACGACCAGGGCUACACACGUGCUACAAUGGCAUAUACAAAGAGAAGCGACCUCGCGAGAGCAAGCGGACCUCAUAAAGUAUGUCGUAGUCCGGAUUGGAGUCUGCAACUCGACUCCAUGAAGUCGGAAUCGCUAGUAAUCGUAGAUCAGAAUGCUACGGUGAAUACGUUCCCGGGCCUUGUACACACCGCCCGUCACACCAUGGGAGUGGGUUGCAAAAGAAGUAGGUAGC